rnacentral:sRNA from 1 species
GGGACCUUGAGUUGGGGAUAAUAAUACAUAAACAAACUUGUCUGUCUUGUCUUUCUAGCUAGGUAGAUUAGGCAAGAGUCCCAUCAUAAAAAGUGAGUCAUUUGGGCAGUUAGGUGGAAAACACACUCCUUUGCAAGUGCUUGCUGUCUGCCCACCAAGUGUGGUUUCUUCUGUUCUUUUGACUUCAUUACAGUGAGGGCCCCAAGGCUGUUGCAGCUCCUCGACCUGAUCGGUUGGUCAAUCGCUUGAAGAAUAUCACUCUGGAUGAUGCCAGUGCUCCUCGCCUAAUGGUUCUUCGUCAGCCAAGGGGACCAGAUAACUCAAUGGGGUUUGGUGCAGAAAGAAAGAUCCGUCAAGCUGGUGUCAUUGACUAACCACAUCCACAAAGCGCAUCAUUAAUCCACUAUGAUCAAGUUGGGGGGAAUCUGGUGAAGGGUUCUGAAUAUCUCCCUCUUCAUCCCUCCCGAAAUCUGGAAUACUUAUUCUAUUGAGCUAUUACACCAGUUUUAACACCUUCCUCGUGUUAUGUUUAAAAAAAUAAAUAAAUUUAAGAAAACCAUUUUAAAAUAAUGCACAGUUGCAGCCUGGAAAACUUAAGGUGGCGCCUUAUAGUAUCAAUUUUAGGAGCUUUAUUUGGUGCAUUUAACGCAACUGGUAAUUGCAGAAUCCACUUUGCCUGUGUAAGUGAAAAAUAUAGACUGUUAUCUUGUUGGCCCUAUGAAAUUCUGCACUUUUCAUUAU